rnacentral:rRNA from 1 species
UUGCUAUAAUUGUCAGCUAAGUGGCGCACGGGUGAGUAAUGUAUAGAUAACCUGCCCUUAAGAAAGGAAUAACAGUUGGAAACGACUGCUAAUGCCCUAUAUGCCUUUAAUACAUAAGUAUGCAAGGGAAACGCUUUAGUGCUUAAGGAUGGGUCUGUAUGGUAUCAGCUUGUUGGUGAGGUAAUAGCUCACCAAGGCUAUGACGCCUAACUGGUUUGAGAGGAUGAUCAGUCACACUGGAACUGAGACACGGUCCAGACUCCUACGGGAGGCAGCAGUGGGGAAUAUUGCACAAUGGACGAAAGUCUGAUGCAGCAACGCCGCGUGGAGGAUGACACAUUUCGGUGCGUAAACUCCUUUUAUAUAGGAAGAUAAUGACGGUACUAUAUGAAUAAGCACCGGCUAACUCCGUGCCAGCAGCCGCGGUAAUACGGAGGGUGCAAGCGUUACUCGGAAUCACUGGGCGUAAAGAGCGUGUAGGCGGGUAUAUAAGUCAGAAGUGAAAUCCAAUAGCUCAACUAUUGAACUGCUUUUGAAACUGUAUACCUAGAAUGUGGGAGAGGUAGAUGGAAUUUCUGGUGUAGGGGUAAAAUCCGUAGAGAUCAGAAGGAAUACCGAUUGCGAAGGCGAUCUACUGGAACAUUAUUGACGCUGAGACGCGAAAGCGUGGGGAGCAAACAGGAUUAGAUACCCUGGUAGUCCACGCCCUAAACGAUGUACACUAGUUGUUGUGAGGCUCGACCUUGCAGUAAUGCAGUUAACACCUUAAGUGUACCGCCUGGGGAGUACGGUCGCAAGAUU